GGGGUUGUGGCUCAGAGGUAGAGCCCUUGCCUAGCAUGCAUGAGGCACUAGGUUUGAUCCUCAGCACCA
rnacentral:tRNA from 1 species